rnacentral:tRNA from 1 species
GGAUUGUGGCUCAGAGGUGAAGCGCUCGCCUGGCAUGCGAGAGGCGCUGGGUUCGAUCCUUAGCACCA